GACGAACGCUGGCGGCGUGCUUAACACAUGCAAGUCGAACGGAAAGGCCCUGCUUUUGUGGGGUGCUCGAGUGGCGAACGGGUGAGUAACACGUGCGUAACCUGCCCUUGACUUUGGGAUAACUUCAGGAAACUGGGGCUAAUACCGGAUAGGAGGUCCAGCGGCAUGGUGGGGGUUGGAAAGUUUCGGCGGUUGGGGAUGGACUGGCGGCUUAUCAGCUUGUUGGUGGGGUAGUGGCUUACCAAGGCUUUGAAGGGUAGCCGGCCUGAGAGGGUGGCCGGCGCCAUUGGGACUGCGAUACGGCCCAGACUCCUACGGGAGGCAGCAGUGGGGAGUAUUGCACAGUGGGGGGAAGCCUGAUGCAGCAGCGCCGCGUGCGGGAUGAGGGCCUGCGGGUUGUAAACCGCUUUCGCCUGUGACGAAGCGUGAGUGACGGUAAUGUGUAAAGAAGCACCGGCUAACUACGUG
rnacentral:rRNA from 1 species